AGCACAUGUGUGUGGGUUUGUUGAACGGUAAACAAAGACAUGAAGCACGUUUGAAAAUAAACCCUCUUUUGCAAUCCAGAACUCAACAGUUCAGUAUGAGUUUUGUCACAUAUAAGAAAGAGUAUG